UUUAUGGAGAGUUUGAUCCUGGCUCAGAGUGAACGCUGGCGGCGUGCCUAAUACAUGCAAGUCGAACGAUGAAGCUUCUAGCUUGCUAGAGUGCUGAUUAGUGGCGCACGGGUGAGUAACGCAUAGGUUAUGUGCCUCUUAGUUUGGGAUAGCCAUUGGAAACGAUGAUUAAUACCAGAUACUCCCUACGGGGGAAAGAUUUAUCGCUAAGAGAUCAGCCUAUGUCCUAUCAGCUUGUUGGUAAGGUAAUGGCUUACCAAGGCUAUGACGGGUAUCCGGCCUGAGAGGGUGAACGGACACACUGGAACUGAGACACGGUCCAGACUCCUACGGGAGGCAGCAGUAGGGAAUAUUGCUCAAUGGGGGAAACCCUGAAGCAGCAACGCCGCGUGGAGGAUGAAGGUUUUAGGAUUGUAAACUCCUUUUGUUAGAGAAGAUAAUGACGGUAUCUAACGAAUAAGCACCGGCUAACUCCGUGCCAGCAGCCGCGGUAAUACGGAGGGUGCAAGCGUUACUCGGAAUCACUGGGCGUAAAGAGCGCGUAGGCGGGAUAGUCAGUCAGGUGUGAAAUCCUAUGGCUUAACCAUAGAACUGCAUUUGAAACUACUAUUCUAGAGUGUGGGAGAGGUAGGUGGAAUUCUUGGUGUAGGGGUAAAAUCCGUAGAGAUCAAGAGGAAUACUCAUUGCGAAGGCGACCUGCUGGAACAUUACUGACGCUGAUUGCGCGAAAGCGUGGGGAGCAAACAGGAUUAGAUACCCUGGUAGUCCACGCCCUAAACGAUGGAUGCUAGUUGUUGGAGGGCUUAGUCUCUCCAGUAAUGCAGCUAACGCAUUAAGCAUCCCGCCUGGGGAGUACGGUCGCAAGAUUAAAACUCAAAGGAAUAGACGGGGACCCGCACAAGCGGUGGAGCAUGUGGUUUAAUUCGAAGAUACACGAAGAACCUUACCUAGGCUUGACAUUGAGAGAAUCCGCUAGAAAUAGUGGAGUGUCUGGCUUGCCAGACCUUGAAAACAGGUGCUGCACGGCUGUCGUCAGCUCGUGUCGUGAGAUGUUGGGUUAAGUCCCGCAACGAGCGCAACCCCCUUUCUUAGUUGCUAACAGGUUAUGCUGAGAACUCUAAGGAUACUGCCUCCGUAAGGAGGAGGAAGGUGGGGACGACGUCAAGUCAUCAUGGCCCUUACGCCUAGGGCUACACACGUGCUACAAUGGGGUGCACAAAGAGAAGCAAUACUGCGAAGUGGAGCCAAUCUUCAAAACACCUCUCAGUUCGGAUUGUAGGCUGCAACUCGCCUGCAUGAAGCUGGAAUCGCUAGUAAUCGCAAAUCAGCCAUGUUGCGGUGAAUACGUUCCCGGGUCUUGUACUCACCGCCCGUCACACCAUGGGAGUUGUGUUUGCCUUAAGUCAGGAUGCUAAAUUGGCUACUGCCCACGGCACACACAGCGACUGGGGUGAAGUCGUAACAAGGUAACCGUAGGUGAACCUGCGGUUGGAUCACCUCCUUUCUAGA
rnacentral:rRNA from 1 species